UACAACUUCAGAGAGUUCUGCAGCAUAGUA
rnacentral:piRNA from 1 species